GACGAACGCUGGCGGCGUGCCUAAUACAUGCAAGUUGAGCGCUGAAGGUUGGUACUUGUACCAACUGGAUGAGCAGCGAACGGGUGAGUAACGCGUGGGGAAUCUGCCUUUGAGCGGGGGACAACAUUUGGAAACGAAUGCUAAUACCGCAUAAAAACUUUAAACACAAGUUUUAAGUUUGAAAGAUGCAAUUGCAUCACUCAAAGAUGAUCCCGCGUUGUAUUAGCUAGUUGGUGAGGUAAAGGCUCACCAAGGCGAUGAUACAUAGCCGACCUGAGAGGGGGAACGGGCACAAUGGGAAUGGGAAACGGGCCAAACCUCUACAGGAAGGAGGAAUAGGGAAACCUUGGGAAUGGGCGAAAGGCCGGACGGGCAAAGCCGCGGGAGGGAAGAAGGGUUUUGGAUUGUAAAAACUCGUUGGUAGAGGAGAAAGGUGGGGGAGGGGGAAAGCUCAACAAGUGAAGGUAAAUAACCAGAAAGGGACGGCUAACUACGUG
rnacentral:rRNA from 1 species